UAAGGCAGCUGUAUUGUAGUCAAGAAAGCCACUGUUUAGGUGAAGUAAAAAUGUCAUUAAGACUCCUGAGCUCUUUGUAGGUUGAGACUGAAUGCUGAGCCUCAAGCUUGUCAAUGUUAGAGGAGAGCUUCCAAUUGGGGGUAGGAACCAUCCAGGAGCUUAGCAGUGAGCCUUUAGGG
rnacentral:lncRNA from 1 species